rnacentral:ncRNA from 1 species
AUAUAGGCAAAACAGAAGAAAUUCUGUGACGCAAAGCUAAAGGGCCUAAGAAGAUCUUUAUGGCAGCCAGUUGC